rnacentral:rRNA from 1 species
UAGGGAAUCUUCCACAAUGGACGCAAGUCUGAUGGAGCAACGCCGCGUGAGUGAAGAAGGUUUUCGGACCGUAAAGCUCUGUUGUUGGUGAAGAAGGAUAGAGGUAGUAACUGGCCUUUAUUUGACGGUAAUCAACCAGAAAGUCACGGCUAACUACGUGCCAGCAGCCGCGGUAAUACGUAGGUGGCAAGCGUUGUCCGGAUUUAUUGGGCGUAAAGCGAGCGCAGGCGGAAGAAUAAGUCUGAUGUGAAAGCCCUCGGCUUAACCGAGGAAUUGCAUCGGAAACUGUUUUCUUGAGUGCAGAAGAGGAGAGUAGAACUCCAUGUGUAGCGGUGGAAUGCGUAGAUAUAUGGAAGAAUACCAGUGGCGAAGGCGGCUCUCUGGUCUGCAACUGACGCUGAGGCUCGAAAGCAUGGGUAGCGAACAGGAUUAGAUACCCUGGUAGUCCAUGCCGUAAACGAAUGAGUGCUAAGUGUUGGGAGGCUUCCGCCUGCUCAGUGCUGCAGCUAACGCAUUAAGCACU